AACAGGAUUAGAUACCCUGGUAGUCCACGCCGUAAACGAUGAGUGCUAGGUGUUGGGGGUUUCCGCCCUCUGUGCCGAAGGUAACCCAAUAAGCACUCCGCCUGGGGAGUACGGCCGCAAGGCUGAAACUCAAAGGAAUUGACGGGGGCCCGCACAAGCGGUGGAGCAUGUGGUUUAAUUCGAAGCAACGCGAAGAACCUUACCAGGGCUUGACAUCCCGCUGACCGGUGCAGAGAUGCACCUUCCCUUCGGGGCAGCGGUGACAGGUGGUGCAUGGUUGUCGUCAGCUCGUGUCGUGAGAUGUUGGGUUCAGUCCCGCAACGAGCGCAACCCUUGUCGUCAGUUGCCAGCACAUGAUGGUGGGCACUCUGGCGAGACAGCCGGUGAAAGCCGGAGGAAGGUGGGGAUGACGUCAAAUCAUCAUGCCCCUUAUGUCCUGGGCUACACACGUGCUACAAUGGCCGGUACAACGGGCAGCGAACCCGUGAGGGGGAGCCAAUCCCAAAAAACCGGUCUCAGUUCGGAUCGCAGGCUGCAACUCGCCUGCGUGAAGCUGGAAUCGCUAGUAAUCGCGGAUCAGCAUGCCGCGGUGAAUCCGUUCCCGGGCCUUGUACACACCGCCCGUCACACCACGAGAGUCUGCAACACCCGAAGUCGGUGAGGUAACCUUCGGGAACCAGCCGCCGAAGGUGGGGCAGAUGAUUGGGGUGAAGUCGUAACAAGGUAACC
rnacentral:rRNA from 1 species